rnacentral:rRNA from 1 species
GUGCCAGCAGCCGCGGUAAUACGAAGYUGYGCAAGCGUUACUCGGAAUUACUGGGCGUAAAGCGUGCGUMGGUGGUCGUUUAAGUCCGUUGUGAAAGCCCUGGGCUCAACCUGGGAACUGCAGUGGAUACUGGGCGACUAGAGUGUGGUAGAGGGUAGCGGAAUUCCUGGUGUAGCAGUGAAAUGCGUAKAGAUCAGGAGGAACAUCCAUGGCGAAGGCAGCUACCUGGACCAACACUGACACUGAGGCACGAAAGCGUGGGGAGCAAACAGGAUUAGAUACCCUGGUAGUCCACGCCCUAAACGAUGCGAACUGGAUGUUGGGUGCAAUUUGGCACGCAGUAUCGAAGCUAACGCGUUAAGUUCGCCGCCUGGGGAGUACGGUCGCAAGACUGAAACUCAAAGGAAUUGACGGGGGCCCGCACAAGCGGUGGAGUAUGUGGUUUAAUUCGAUGCAACGCGAAGAACCUUACCUGGCCUUGACAUGUCGAGAACUUUCCAGAGAUGGAUUGGUGCCUUCGGGAACUCGAACACAGGUGCUGCAUKGGCUGUCGUCAGCUCGUWGUCGUGAGAUGUUGGGGUUAAGUUCCCGCAAC